GUCUAUGUAUGCAUGGCCAGUACAGUGAAACUGUGAACGGCUUGUUAAAUUGGUUAUGGCUUCUUUGGUUGCUUACUCCUCUCCUACUUGGAUAAUUGUGGUAAUUCUAGAGCUAAUACAUGCCAAAAAGUGAUAGAUCUGGUCAGUGGAGGCUAAUGGCGGGAAUUUGGAGAUGAAGACUCAGGAAUGUGAGAUUUGGAAGUUGCCAAUAAACACAUUAGCCUAAUUGAUACUUUUGAUGGUUGAUUUUAUGUGUCAAUUUGGCUAAGCUUUGGUUCCCAGCUAUUCGGCCAAACAGUAAUCUAGUUGCUGUCUUGGAG
rnacentral:ncRNA from 1 species